rnacentral:rRNA from 1 species
AACGUAGGUGGCGAGCGUUAUCCGGAUUUAUGGUGCGUAAAGCGUGUGCAGGCGGGGUGACAAGUGGUGUAUGAAAUCUCCGGGCUAAACCUGGAGGGGUUAUGCCAGACUGUCAUUCUAGAGUGCGAGAGAGGGGCGUGGAAUUCCGGGUGUAGUGGUGAAAUGCGUAGAGAUCCGGGAGGAACCCCAGAGGCGAAGGCGGCGCCCUGGCUCGCAACUGAC